GAUGAACGCUGGCGGCGUGCCUAAUACAUGCAAGUCGAGCGAACAGACGCGAAGCUUGCUCCUCUGACGUUAGCGGCGGACGUGUGAGUAACAUGUGGAUAACCCACCUAUCAGACUGGGAUAACUUCGGGACACCGUCUAUAAUACCGGAUAAUAUAUUUAACCGCAUGGUUCAAUAGUGAAAGACGGUUUUGCUGUCACUUAUAGAUGGCUCCGCGCCGCAUUAGCUAGUUGGUAAGGUCACGGCCUACCAAGGCAACGAUGCGUAGCCGACCUGGGAGGGUGAUCGGCCACACUGGAACUGAGACACGCACCAGACGCCUACGGGAGGCAGCAGUAGGGAAUCUUCCGCAAUGGGCGAAAGCCUGACGGAGCAACGCCGCGUGAGUUGUGAAGGUCUUCGGAUCGUAAAACUCUGUUAUGAGGGAAGAACAAAUGUGUAAGGAGCUAUGCACGUCUUGACGGUACCUAAUCAGAAAGCCACGGCUAACUACGUG
rnacentral:rRNA from 1 species